GGCUGCACGGUGGUGCAGUUGGUAGCACUGUUGCCUUGCAGCAAGAAGGUCCUGAAGGUCCUGGGUUCAAUUCCCAGUGGGGGCU